rnacentral:rRNA from 1 species
AGGACGAACGCUGGCGGCGUGCUUAACACAUGCAAGUGGAGCGACGAACCAGGGCUUGCCCUGGGGCAGAGCCGCGAACGGGUGAGUAACACGUGGGUUACCUGCCUUGAUGACCGGGACAACCCGAGGAAAACUCGGGCUAAUACCGGAUGUGCCCGCAAGGGGAAAGGAAGCUUCGGCCUCCGCAUCAAGAUGGGCCCGCGGCCCAUUAGCUUGUUGGUGAGGUAACGGCUCACCAAGGCUUCGAUGGGUAGCUGGUCUGAGAGGACGAUCAGCCACACUGGGACUGAGACACGGCCCAGACUCCUACGGGAGGCAGCAGUGGGGAAUCUUGCGCAAUGCGCGAAAGCGUGACGCAGCGACGCCGCGUGGGGAAGAAGGCUUUCGGGUUGUAAACCCCUUUCAGUUGGGACGAAGCUUCUCCGGUGAAUAGCCGGAUCGGAGUGACGGUACCUUCACAAGAAGCACCGGCUAACUACGCGCCAGCAGCCGCGGU